rnacentral:tRNA from 1 species
CGGUUUUUGAAAGUCAUAUUUCUUCAUUUGACUUCCGCACUCAGGGCAAGAUGGGGCGUCGUAGUCCAGUUUGGCGAUGAUUUCCU